UACGAAGGGGGCUAGCGUUGCUCGGAAUCACUGGGCGUAAAGGGUGCGUAGGCGGGUUUUUAAGUCAGGGGUGAAAUCCUGGAGCUCAACUCCAGAACUGCCUUUGAUACUGAAGAUCUUGAGUCCGGGAGAGGUGAGUGGAACUGCGAGUGUAGAGGUGAAAUUCGUAGAUACUCGCAAGAACACCAGUGGCGAAGGCGGCUCACUGGCCCGGUACUGACGCUGAGGCACGAAAGCGUGGGGAGCAAACAGG
rnacentral:rRNA from 1 species